CUACAAACCCGAGCUAUCGUUCCGAUUUUAUCGGGAAGGAAAGUCCGGACAGCGCAGAGCAACCCACCGGUUAAUAGCCGGCUUCCCGGUUUUAACCGGGAAAGAGAAAGUGCCACAGAAAAUAACUACCCACGAUGAAAAUCGGGGGAAAAGGUGAAAAUGUGAGGUAAAAGCUCACGGUCCUGAUUGGUAACAAACGGGAUGGGUAAACCUUGGGUGCUGUAAUGCCACAUAUAGGAUCCUCUGAGGGCUGCUCGCCCAAUUCCGCUUCAUGCGGGAAGGGUCCAGGGUAGGCAGCAAGAUCGUGCCAGUAAUGGCAUGGCCAGAUAAAUGAUAGUUUAGAAACAGAAUCCGGCUUAUGAGGUUUGUAGUUUU
rnacentral:RNase_P_RNA from 1 species